rnacentral:lncRNA from 1 species
UUUCCUCCUCCCCUGGUCCCGACCUCGGCGGCGACGGCGACGGCGAGGCGCCUCGUCUUCCAGUCAAGCUGCUCUGCUCCCCGCCCGGCAUGGUCCCUCUCCUCCGUCCGCUGGAACUGGAAGCCAGCGCCACCCACAAGGUUAGAUCUCACGUGCUCUGCCCGCGCCCUACAGGUGCUUGCGUUUAUUCCCACCAGCUUCCUUCCACCGCGACCUACCUAAUUAGCUCAAGUACCAUGGUCACCAACCAACCACUCAGUUGCGGACCGGGUGCACGCAUGCUUGUUUGCUUCAGUGGAAUCGCAGCCGUCUCCGUGCGUCCUAUUGUCUGUCUUUCUCUCUCGGCGCGUCCCCAGAAAUUAAGUAGUAAUGGCCACCGGGCCUUGUGGGAGCCAAUUCAAGUAUGAUCAACCCGAGUCUAGGGCUCUAGGUUAGUGCCCGUCUUUUUAACACUCAGCUCUCGUUCAAAUGGCAUGUCCUUGUGCCGGCCUGCGCCUUGAAGACUGCAACGCCACCAGCGCCAGACCGGCGGCUUAAUUAGCUUUGUCUUUAGUCUUUACUCUUGGAUUUACUUCACGGGAUGGGAUGGGAUGUGGUUAGUUGGGUUCAUCAGAUCCGAUGAGAGCAAUGUUUAGAUGGAUACUGGGUUACUGGUCGUUCCAGCCUGAGCUUGAUCACUUUUUCAGGGGCACCACCUUCAGUUCGUUACCACUAUGUUAGUAGAGACCUCCAUACUGAAGGAAUCCAUUCCGUGUGACAAGUGCAGCUAGCCCAAUUAUUACUACUACGUUUGAGGAAUCACUCACUUACUCCUUUUCUUCUUCUUUUUUAUGCGAGAUCAAAUAAUAAUGUUGACAUCAAACCCCACGUCCUCACUGUCUCUCGUCUCGGCAGCCCUGCUGCUCUUUGUUUAGUCUGAGCGCUACUUUGUGCAAUCUUUGUUUCCGACUUCUGUGAGUACUUUUAUUUAUGUUCCCGUGGCUGUCCAAUGCAAAGCACUGCAUUUUGUUCUCAUCAGUCAACACUCAACAGUGAAUCAGGAUCUCGAUUAAUGCUUGGGAUUUAUUUGCUGCCCUCAACUUUUUACAUGCGAAACUAGCCUAGCAAGUGGUGGAACCGCAAGUGUCUCGCAAUGAUUGACCUUUUACAUAUUUCAGCUAGACUCAGUUAAAAUUAAAGUUACAACUCUCUACUUCUCUUUCUCUCUCUUGAAAUAAAAUUAUAACUCUAUGCUGUCAACUGCCGCCCCCUUCCUGAAAGAACUGUGCAAGGUUUCAGGUCAAGCCCCACACUCGUGGCCAUGGCCGGCGACGAGCUCCACCCUCUUACUCGCAACACUUGGCGCCGAGAGGGUAGGCGUCGCCGCUGAUGGAUGUCUGCCGCCAUCUCCUCCCGCUUUCCCAUGGCCCAGCUCGCUGCCGCCCGUGCCUUUCCUCCGCUCCCACUCUUGUUCGUGUGCAAUUUCUUUGGAAAUUAGGGAGCUGCGUUGUUAAUCUCUCCAUGUUUUGGCAGAGUGUGAAUAAAAGUACUACCUUUUUCAUUUUUGAGACGAACAAAAGUACUAUCUCC